UUUCCAAGCGGCAUGGAGGAUAACCGCCAUGUCGCGUUGUAGACUAAAGGGGUGUCAUCUUGCGUGGGCCAGGGAUAAAUCCGUUGGAAGACGGUAUCAUAGAGGGUGAGAAUCCCGUCUUUGACCUGGUAAGAUAUCCAUGCAUUUACGUUACGCUUCCAAAGAGUCGGGUUGUUUGGGAAUGCAGCCCAAAGCGGGUGGUAAAUUUCAUCUAAGGCUAAAUAUGGGCACGAGACCGAUAGCGAACAAGUACCAUGAGGGAAAGAUGAAAAGAACUUUGAAAAGAGAGUUAAAAAGUACGUGAAACCGUUAAAGGGGAAACGAAUGGAGCUAGCAUAUGUGGAGAAGAUAACCUAAUCAGUCAGCACGUGUGUGUGGGGGGAUUGCGCCUAGGGUUCUAUAUUGAUUUCUGGGGAGGGUUUACUUUUUCUAGAGGUGAGUAGGACGAGGCGGAGUUUCUUUCUGAAAGAGCAUAGACCUUGCUGGUGCACUUAGGUUAGCCACAGGCCAACAUCAGUUUUUCAACUGGGUCACAAGCGGCAGGGGAAGGUAGUUCCGGUGCUUCUGUGGCGGAAUGUUAUAACCCUUGAAACAACCGAAAUGACCCGGGGAAGACUGAGCAGAAGCAGCGCGCAAAACCAUCGGAGAGCAACCGCUGAGGAUGCAGGUGCGGAAGGACUGAGGGCAUAUAUCCAGAGGCAACGAUGGAGUGUGGCAGCAGUAGUCUGUGCCGAUAAUUUGACGACUUCUGUGCGUGCAUGGGAGGAGUUUUAGAUGAGCAACCUUACACGGGGCGUACCCAGACAACGUGCUUGUGAUGUUGGGGAAAAAUGGCUUCAUCCGACCCGUCUUGAAACACGGACCAAGGAGUCUAACAUAUACGCAAGUCUUUGGGUAGAAAGCCCGCAGGCGAAAUGAAAGUGAAGGUAUGCAUGGUAUGCUGAGGUGAGACGUUGUGAGGUAGGCAAAAUAAUUUUUUUUUGUUUUUACUGACAUGACAGCAUCAUCGACCGAUCAGGAAGGAAAUUAACCUGAAAGAUUUGAGUAAGAGCGUAUCUGUUGGGACCCGAAAGAUGGUGAACUAUGCCUGAACAGGGUGAAGUCUGAGGAAACUCAGAUGGAAGCUCGUAGCGAUUCUGACGUGCAAAUCGAUCGUCUGAUUUGGGUAUAGGGGCGAAAGACUAAUCGAACCAUCUAGUAGCUGGUUCCCUCCGAAGUUUCCCUCAGGAUAGCUGGAACUAAGAAACGACGCAGUUUUAUCAGGUAAAGCGAAUGAUUAGAGGCCUUGGGGUUGAAAUAACCUCAACCUAUUCUCAAACUUUAAAUAGGUAAGAAGGCUGGCUUGCUUAAGUGAAGCCAGCCAAGCAGAAUGCAAGUUCCAAGUGGGCCAUUUUUGGUAAGCAGAACUGGCGAUGCGGGAUGAACCGAAAGCAAAGUUAAAGUGCCAAAGUUCACGCUCACCUAGAACCCAGAAAAGGUGUUGGCUGAUGAAGACAGCAGGACGGUGGCUAUGGAAGUUGGAACCCGCUAAGGAGUGUGUAACAACUCACCUGCCGAAUCAGCCAGCCCUGAAAAUGGAUGGCGCUCAAGCGUGACACUCAUACUUUGCCGUUGCCUUUUUUUUAUAUAUAGAAAGAAUAUAAAGCAACGAGUAGGAGGGCGUGGAGGUUUGUGAAGCAGCUUAGGGCGUAAGCCUGAGUGAAACAGCC
rnacentral:rRNA from 1 species